AGCAGCCGCGGUAAUUCCAGCUCCAAUAGCGUAUAUUAAAGUUGUUGCAGUUAAAAAGCUCGUAGUUGAAUUUCGGGAUUGACACAUCGGUCGUGCCUUAAGGGGUAUGAACUGGUGUAGUCAAUUUCUCACCUUCUGGAGAACCGCGAUGUCCUUAAUUGGGUGCCGCGAGGAACCAGGACCUUUACUUUGAAAAAAUUAGAGUGUUUAAAGCAGGCAUUUUUGCUUGAAUACAUUAGCAUGGAAUAAUAAAAUAGGACGGCAUGAUUCUAUUUUGUUGGUUUCUAGGAUCACCGUAAUGAUUAAUAGGGAUAGUUGGGGGCAUUAGUAUUCAAUUGUCAGAGGUGAAAUUCUUGGAUUUAUUGAAGACUAACUACUGCGAAAGCAUUUGCCAAGGAUGUUUUCAUUAAUCAAGAACGAAAGUUAGGGGAUCGAAGACGAUCAGAUACCGUCGUAGUCUUAACCAUAAACUAUGCCGACUAGGAAUCAGACGAUGUUAAUUUUUUAAUGACUCGUUUGGCACCUUACG
rnacentral:rRNA from 3 species